GACGAACGCUGGCGGCGUGCUUAACACAUGCAAGUCGAGCGGUAAGGCCCUUUCGGGGGUACACGAGCGGCGAACGGGUGAGUAACACGUGGGUGACCUGCCCUUAGCUCUGGGAUAAGCCUGGGAAACUGGGUCUAAUACCGGAUAUGACUCCAUGACGCAUGUUGUGGGGUGGAAAGCCUUGUGCGGCUAGGGAUGGGCCUGCGGCCUAUCAGCUUGUUGGUGGGGUGANGGCCUACCAAGGCGACGACGGGUAGCCGGCCUGAGAGGGCGACCGGCCACACUGGGACUGAGACACGGCCCAGACUCCUACGGGAGGCAGCAGUGGGGAAUCUUGCGCAAUGGGCGAAAGCCUGACGCAGCGACGCCGCGUGGGGAUGACGGCCU
rnacentral:rRNA from 1 species